UCUGUGCGUGCAGCUAGCGAUUCAGUCGCCACGGCUGGACCUCACCCGCCGGAGCAUCCGAGGGAGAUGGACGGUGGCUCGUUCCUCCGACCACCCCUGGGAUCAUGGGAGCCGUCCGAUCGGCAACGAGCGGCGAGAUCAGUGUGGAGGAAGGCGAGCGGGUGUGUCGCAUGGGCUUGAAAGCCCACGAAGCAGCUCGCUGAGGCGCCGGCUGACGGACGCGGCGGCUCGCUGCUGCACAGCACAGGCACGGUGGAGGAGAAGGGCUAGAGGCCUCGACGACGACGGCCAGGGCGGGUCCUCGCGCCCUCUCCACGAUCCGCUGCUCUCAAGAUUUCUCGACAGUGCGUGGCCAGUGUGCUGUUCCCCAUCCUCUCAUCUCCCGUCAUGCCGUCGAUGUCGUGCGGUCGUGCCUGAUCCUCCGGGCGGCUGCUCGCGUCUCCAGCUCAGUUGCGUCGGCUACAUAUCGCUUUGCGGCGGCGACGGAGGCCCGCUCUGGUUCAGGCGGUGUGGCGGCCUCAGAUCCGCUCUAGCACUCUUCCUCCGUUGCUGCAGCGGCAGGGCCCCCUCGGAGCAAAGCAGUCUUCGUCGGGCCACCCUUCGUCGUACCAGAUUGGGCGAAAUUCGAGGCAAAUGACAAGGAUCUUGAGUCAGAUGAUGCCCUAUGGGACCUGUAUGAGCGCUGGUGCAAGUUUUUUAACCAGGAGCGUGACCGUGAGGAGAUGGCUCGCCGGUUCAGCUCCUUCAAGGAGACUGUGCUGAGAGUGGAGAAAAACAAGAAAUCUAAUCUGCCUUACAGACUUGCGAUUAACAAGUUUGCCGAUGGGAAGCUAAGGGAACUCUACAUCAAAAGUUCGACCAUGAACCAUAGAAGGCCUCGUUCUGCUUCACCGAUCUAUGGGAGUCAAGUAAGGGGCCAGGCCAAGCGGGCCGGCCGCCGCAACUGAAACCUCGAAUCCAUCUGCAAUUGAAUUAGGCAUUACCGUUCUCAGGAUCCACAAGACCCAUGAAUAACUUUUCGUUCGAACCUGUAUUAAGUUAUUGUAUAUGUGUGACUGUCAUUCGGAACCAUAUAUGCAUGCAUAUGUCUACUCUACUGAGCUGCAUGUUUGGUUCUGUGCAAACUUGCAUGCAAUUUUUCAAGCUUACCAUUA